rnacentral:rRNA from 1 species
AUCGGGGCAGGGUGAGUCGACCCCUAAGGCGAGGCCGAAAGGCGUAGUCGAUGGGAAACAGGUUAAUAUUCCUGUACUUGGUGUUACUGCGAAGGGGGGACGGAGAAGGCUAUGUUGGCCGGGCGACGGUUGUCCCGGUUUAAGCGUGUAGGCUGGUUUUCCAGGCAAAUCCGGAAAACUAAGGCUGAGGCGUGAUGACGAGGCACUACGGUGCUGAAGCAACAAAUGCCCUGCUUCCAGGAAAAGCCUCUAAGCAUCAGGUAACAUCAAAUCGUACCCCAAACCGACACAGGUGGUCAGGUAGAGAAUACCAAGGCGCUUGAGAGAACUCGGGUGAAGGAACUAGGCAAAAUGGUGCCGUAACUUCGGGAGAAGGCACGCUGAUAUGUAGGUGAAGUCCCUCGCGGAUGGAGCUGAAAUCAGUCGAAGAUACCAGCUGGCUGCAACUGUUUAUUAAAAACACAGCACUGUGCAAACACGAAAGUGGACGUAUACGGUGUGACGCCUGCCCGGUGCCGGAAGGUUAAUUGAUGGGGUCAGCGCAAGCGAAGCUCUUGAUCGAAGCCCCGGUAAACGGCGGCCGUAACUAUAACGGUCCUAAGGUAGCGAAAUUCCUUGUCGGGUAAGUUCCGACCUGCACGAAUGGCGUAAUGAUGGCCAGGCUGUCUCCACCCGAGACUCAGUGAAAUUGAACUCGCUGUGAAGAUGCAGUGUACCCGCGGCAAGACGGAAAGACCCCGUGAACCUUUACUAUAGCUUGACACUGAACAUUGAGCCUUGAUGUGUAGGAUAGGUGGGAGGCUUUGAAGUGUGGACGCCAGUCUGCAUGGAGCCGACCUUGAAAUACCACCCUUUAAUGUUUGAUGUUCUAACGUUGACCCGUAAUCCGGGUUGCGGACAGUGUCUGGUGGGUAGUUUGACUGGGGCGGUCUCCUCCUAAAGAGUAACGGAGGAGCACGAAGGUUGGCUAAUCCUGGUCGGACAUCAGGAGGUUAGUGCAAUGGCAUAAGCCAGCUUGACUGCGAGCGUGACGGCGCGAGCAGGUGCGAAAGCAGGUCAUAGUGAUCCGGUGGUUCUGAAUGGAAGGGCCAUCGCUCAACGGAUAAAAGGUACUCCGGGGAUAACAGGCUGAUACCGCCCAAGAGUUCAUAUCGACGGCGGUGUUUGGCACCUCGAUGUCGGCUCAUCACAUCCUGGGGCUGAAGUAGGUCCCAAGGGUAUGGCUGUUCGCCAUUUAAAGUGGUACGCGAGCUGGGUUUAGAACGUCGUGAGACAGUUCGGUCCCUAUCUGCCGUGGGCGCUGGAGAACUGAGGGGGGCUGCUCCUAGUACGAGAGGACCGGAGUGGACGCAUCACUGGUGUUCGGGUUGUCAUGCCAAUGGCACUGCCCGGUAGCUAAAUGCGGAAGAGAUAAGUGCUGAAAGCAUCUAAGCACGAAACUUGCCCCGAGAUGAGUUCUCCCUGACUCCUUGAGAGUCCUGAAGGAACGUUGAAG